ensembl:lncRNA ZFAS1 ZNFX1 antisense RNA 1
CGGGGGCCCAGGGUGGAGAGCACGAGGGCCUGGCCCAGGCACGGCCGGCGCCUCCGCCCUCGAGGAGGGCGUCACCUCAGCUCCCCCCGGCGGCGGAGCCGGCGGGCUCAGGCGGGCGCGGCUGAGGGGAGCGGACCGCGGGGGGCGGGAGAUGACUGCGCCCAAGGCCUUUGCGGGCCUCAGCCGGCCCCAGAGGAAGGGGAACCCGUCGAGCGGUUUGGUGCGUGUGAAGCGCGACAUGGCGAGGAAGCGGACAAGCCCGGGUGGCCCGGCGUGUAGAGGGAAGGGGGCGGGGCUAGACGCGGCCUGGACAACUACUAGAGCGCCUCGGGCUGUGCUGCUCGAGACUACAUUUCCCAGAGCGACGCGCGCGGAGCGGGCGGGAAAGAGAGCGUUUCGGGUCCAGUGCGCAGGUGCGAAAGCCAUCUUUGGUUAUAUAAGGGAGGUUCAGGAAGCCAUUCGUUCUUUCGCGUCUGCGGUGCCCGGAGUGUGGUACUUCUCCUAGUUGCAGUCAGGCUUCAUACGCUAUUGUCCUGCCCGUUAGAGCAGCCAGCGGGUACAGAAUGGAUUUUGGAAGAGGGAGUCACCACUGGACCUCCAAGGAAGCCACGUGCAGACAUCUACAACCUUCGAUCUCCUGACGAGUUUAUUGUUGGCCAAAACCAGGCUUUGAUUGAACCAGGAUGAAUGCGGGUGUUGGAAGUAGAAUAUAUAUAUACAUAUAAAAUUGGUUGGGAGCCACGUGUACCAGUGUGUGUUGAUCUUGGCUUGAUUCAGUCUGCCUUGUAACAGAUACAGGGUAUGAUACAGCAUCCUACAAGAAUGAGCAAACCUAUUCUGAUGGCAGGAGAUUGAGGACAAACUGGCGAUGGAAUAUGAGAGGAGCCCUCUGGAAAGAAAAGGACAGACCCUGUGCUUUCAUGAAAGUGAAGAUCUGGCUGAACCAGUUCCACAAGGUUACUGUAUACAUAGCCUGAGUUUAAAAGGCUGUGCCCACUUCAAGAAUGUCAUUGUUAGACUUUGAAAUUUCUAACUGCCUACCUGCAUAAAGAAAAUAAAAUCUUUUAAAUCAAAA